AUUGAACGCUGGCGGCAGGCCUAACACAUGCAAGUCGAACGGCAGCACAGAAGAGCUUGCUCUUUGGGUGGCGAGUGGCGGACGGGUGAGUAAUGACUGGGAAACUGCCCGAUGGAGGGGGAUAACUACUGGAAACGGUAGCUAAUACCGCAUAACGUCGCGAGACCAAAGUGGGGGACCUUCGGGCCUCACACCAUCGGAUGUGCCCAGAUGGGAUUAGCUAGUAGGUGGGGUAAUGGCUCACCUAGGCGACGAUCCCUAGCUGGUCUGAGAGGAUGACCAGCCACACUGGAACUGAGACACGGUCCAGACUCCUACGGGAGGCAGCAGUGGGGAAUAUUGCACAAUGGGCGCAAGCCUGAUGCAGCCAUGCCGCGUGUAUGAAGAAGGCCUUCGGGUUGUAAAGUACUUUCAGCGGGGAGGAAGGCGGUGAGGUUAAUAACCUCGCCGAUUGACGUUACCCGCAGAAGAAGCACCGGCUAACUCCGUGCCAGCAGCCGCCGUAA
rnacentral:rRNA from 1 species